rnacentral:rRNA from 1 species
ACGCUGGCGGCGUGCCUAAUACAUGCAAGUAGAACGCUGAAGGAGGAGCUUGCUUCUCCGGAUGAGUUGCGAACGGGUGAGUAACGCGUAGGUAACCUGCCUGGUAGCGGGGGAUAACUAUUGGAAACGAUAGCUAAUACCGCAUAACAGUAGAUGUUGCAUGACAUUUGCUUAAAAGGUGCAAUUGCAUCACUACCAGAUGGACCUGCGUUGUAUUAGCUAGUUGGUGGGGUAACGGCUCACCAAGGCGACGAUACAUAGCCGACCUGAGAGGGUGAUCGGCCACACUGGGACUGAGACACGGCCCAGACUCCUACGGGAGGCAGCAGUAGGGAAUCUUCGGCAAUGGACGGAAGUCUGACCGAGCAACGCCGCGUGAGUGAACAAGGUUUUCGGAUCGUAAAGCUCUGUUGUAAGAGAAGAACAGGUGUGAGAGUGGAAAGUUCACACUGUGACGGUAUCUUACCAGAAAGGGACGGCUAACUACGUGCCAGCAGCCGCGGUAAUACGUAGGUCCCGAGCGUUGUCCGGAUUUAUUGGGCGUAAAGCGAGCGCAGGCGGUUAGAUAAGUCUGAAGUUAAAGGCUGUGGCUUAACCAUAGUACGCUUUGGAAACUGUUUAACUUGAGUGCAAGAGGGGAGAGUGGAAUUCCAUGUGUAGCGGUGAAAUGCGUAGAUAUAUGGAGGAACACCGGUGGCGAAAGCGGCUCUCUGGCUUGUAACUGACGCUGAGGCUCGAAAGCGUGGGGAGCAAACAGGAUUAGAUACCCUGGUAGUCCACGCCGUAAACGAUGAGUGCUAGGUGUUAGACCCUUUCCGGGGUUUAGUGCCGCAGCUAACGCAUUAAGCACUCCGCCUGGGGAGUACGACCGCAAGGUUGAAACUCAAAGGAAUUGA